UACAGAGGUCUCAAGCGUUGUUCGGAUUCAUUGGGCGUAAAGGGUGUGUAGGUGGCGCCGUAGGUCGGGUGUGAAAUUUCGGAGCUUAACUCCGAAACUGCAUUCGAUACUGCGGUGCUUGAGGACUGGAGAGGAGACUGGAAUUCAUGGUGUAGCAGUGAAAUGCGUAGAGAUCAUGAGGAAGACCAGUGGCGAAGGCGGGUCUCUGGACAGUUCCUGACACUGAGACACGAAGGCCAGGGGAGCAAACGGG
rnacentral:rRNA from 1 species